rnacentral:misc_RNA from 1 species
AUAUAUCAACCCUCUUCAUGUUUUGCAUGUCGAGUGUUGGAUGUGGGAGUUUUUGCUGGACUCUCUUGAGAGGUCAGCUCUCCUAAAAUACAUUAGCAAAACGAUUUGUUUACUGCUCAUUGGUGUGAUAACUAUCUACGCUAUUGACGGUAAAGCACGGUUUAGCUUCUAACAGUCCAUUGGCUUGGACAAUCUUCUAUCA